rnacentral:rRNA from 1 species
AGUUGCGAACGGGUGAGUAACGCGUAGGUAACCUGCCUGAUAGCGGGGGAUAACUAUUGGAAACGAUAGCUAAUACCGCAUAAGAGGUAAUAACACAUGUUAUUAGUUUAAAAGGGGCAACUGCUCCACUAUCAGAUGGACCUGCGUUGUAUUAGCUAGUUGGUAAGGUAACGGCUUACCAAGGCGACGAUACAUAGCCGACCUGAGAGGGUGAUCGGCCACACUGGGACUGAGACACGGCCCAGACUCCUACGGGAGGCAGCAGUAGGGAAUCUUCGGCAAUGGGGGCAACCCUGACCGAGCAACGCCGCGUGAGUGAAGAAGGUUUUCGGAUCGUAAAGCUCUGUUGUAAGAGAAGAACGGAUGUGGGAGUGGAAAAUCCAURUCGUGACGGUAUCUUACCAGAAAGGGACGGCUAACUACGUGCCAGCAGCCGCGGUAAUACGUAGGUCCCGAGCGUUGUCCGGAUUUAUUGGGCGUAAAGCGAGCGCAGGCGGUUUCAUAAGUCUGAAGUUAAAGGCAGUGGCUUAACCAUUGUACGCUUUGGAAACUGUGAGACUUGAGUGCAGAAGGGGAGAGUGGAAUUCCAUGUGUAGCGGUGAAAUGCGUAGAUAUAUGGAGGAACACCGGUGGCGAAAGCG